UCACGUAUCUUUCUCUCUCUCAUGAAAUCAACUCCGCCUCUCUCUCUCUCUCGUGAUCUCUCCUUGGCUCUGCGCCGCGUUAUCCCUCAUCCUCUCCAUGAAUUCCUCCAAAGCUUGCUUCUUCCACUCUCCUCUUCGACCCAUCUCGCUUCCCCAAUCCUCCUAUGGCUUCUUCUCAAAGCGUAAGCUUCUCUUCCUCUGAUUACAUCUGAAUCAAAGCAAUCACUUAUCAGGACACAGUCUGUUGCUGAUAAAUUAAGAAUCAGAGCAAUCACUUAUCUGUCAAUUGAUUCUGUUUUGUUGCUUUUGUUUAAUUUCUUGUGGGUUUCUUAAAUAUGACAAUCGAUGUUGAUGCUAUCGAAGAUGAUGAUGAUGUUGUUGAGUCAACUGCUUCUGCUUUUGAUCGAGCUAAAAUUACAAGAUUGUGAUUGAUGAUGAUACCAAGUGAUCAUGUAAAUGUGUUGCGCACAGGUCCUUUGUCAUGUUCUUCCAUCCUUGCACUUCCCUCCAAUACUCUGUUUUUGCAGCCACAGAGAGAACAGAGGUGGUGCCUAGACGACAACAUGAGACCAGAUCUUCCUGGGUUUUAUUUCGACGAGGAGAAGAAAAAAAUAUUUCGCAAUUAAAGGUCCUAUCCCAGGUUCAAAACCUUCUUCUUCUUCUUCUUCUUCUUCAAAAGCAGCAGAACAAAAGCCUAAUUCAAAGCAUUUCAAGGAACCUAAUUAUCAGAAGAAAAAUAAACUGAAAGCAUUGAAGCUGCUUUGUUCCCGAGAGCUAAGUGGCAGUGUUAUUGCUCUUAAUAAUAAGAAGAACAAGUCUAACUUCAAGGAGGAGAUUGAAAAGACACACGCCUCUAACCCUCUGGUGUGGAGAUAUGAUUCUACGAAAAACAUAGGCGAUGCUGCUUUGAAAGAGUUUCAGGUUGAUAUACAAACAUUUCAAGGCCUCACCACAAAGAACAUCCUAGUAGCAGGCAGUAAUUGAGGCUGCUUGAAGUAUGUUCUAUGAGUUAAGUCUCCUCCUAGAAUUAACAACAUUAGAUUGUUUUCAUUCUAAACUAUAUGCUUUGGACAUGUCUAAUUUUUUUUAAGACCCCCUAAAUAAGAAACUACCAUUGGAGGGUAUGAAUCAAGGUGUUUCUUAAACAAGGUUCUUAAUUACAUUUAAUUAGUAAAAUACUCAUUAAGACACCCAAUGGGAUUUGUGGGUUAAUCAUGCUCUUAUGAUUUGGGCUUUAAUAUUUUAAAACAAACCCACUUAAAGCAGAGUCAUUAUAGUUAGGGUUGGACAUUCCGGUAUAAAUCCGGAUUCCAUUUAAAUUUUGGUUUGAUUUGGUUUAUUUGAGUUUGAAAAAACUUUAACCAAGUGUCAAACCGAAAUUAGUUUAGUUUGGUUUGUAUUUGCUUAGUUCAACCGAA